AUAUUACUAAGCGGAGGAAAAGAAAUUAACAAAGGUUGCCUUAGUAAGGGCGACUGAACCGGCAAGAGCUCGAAAUUGGAAUCGAUGAUUCAAAGAAUCUUCGAAUUGUAAUCAGGUCCGCCUAAAUACGAGAGAGCGUUUAAGCACGUCGAACCGUGCGCCAGAGAGGGUGCAAGCCCCGUGUAAUGCUUUCUCGAGUAAGGGGGAUCCCACAAGAGUCGGGUUGCUUGGAACUGCAGCCCUAAGCGGGAGAUAUGAAUCUUCCAAAGCUAAAUAUGGAUGGGAGACCGAUAGCGCACAAGUA
rnacentral:rRNA from 1 species